AGCAGCCGCGGUAAUUCCAGCUCCAAUAGCGUAUAUUAAAGUUGUUGCAGUUAAAAAGCUCGUAGUUGAAUUUCGGGAUUAGUACGCUGGUCAUGCCUUUGGUAUGUACUGGUGUUACUGGUUCCUACCUUCUGAAGAACCGUCAUGUCAUUAAUUUGGUGUGGCGGGGAAUCAGGACUGUUACUUUGAAAAAAUUGGAGUGUUUAAAGCAGGCUCGCGCUUGAAUACAUUAGCAUGGAAUAAUGAAAUAGGACGUUUGACCCUAUUUUGUUGGUUUCUAGGUAUCGACGUAAUGAUUAAUAGGGAUAGUUGGGGGCAUUAGUAUUCAAUUGUCAGAGGUGAAAUUCUUGGAUUUAUUGAAGACUAACUACUGCGAAAGCAUUUGCCAAGGAUGUUUUCAUUAAUCAAGAACGAAAGUUAGGGGAUCGAAGACGAUCAGAUACCGUCGUAGUCUUAACCAUAAACUAUGCCGACUAGGGAUCGGAUGAUGUUAUUUUUUAAUGUACUUACAUUUCGGCGC
rnacentral:rRNA from 1 species